CAGCCGCCGCGGUAAUACGGAGGGCGCGAGCGUUGUCCGGAUUCACUGGGCGUAAAGCGGGUGUAGGCGGUCGGGUAAGUCGGGUGUGAAAUCCCACGGCUCAACCGUGGAAUUGCGCCCGAAACUGCCGAGCUUGGGGCCGGUAGAGGGAGACGGAACUGCCGGUGUAGGGGUGAAAUCCGUAGAUAUCGGCAGGAACGCCGGUGGGGAAGCCGGUCUCCUGGGCCGCGCCCGACGCUGAGGCCCGAAAGCUAGGGGAGCAAACCGGAUUAGAUACCCGGGUAGUCCUAGCCGUAAACGAUGCCCACUAGGUGUGGGGGAGUAUUUCCUCCGUGCUGGAGCUAACGCGUUAAGUGGGCCGCCUGGGGAGUACGCCCGCAAGGGUGAAACUUAAAGGAAUUGGCGGG
rnacentral:rRNA from 1 species